GGUUUUACGCCGGAAGAACGGAUUAUGUUGAUGGCAUAGAAUAUAAAAUUUCAAAUUUUUAAAACUA
rnacentral:tRNA from 1 species